GUUCCUAACAAUGUGAAAAGUAAAUUUUAUCGAUCGCAAAAUAAUCAAUAACAUUGCCGGUUCAUUAAAAGCAGCAUCAAAUAUUCAGCUUCUGCCCGGAAAGACCACGACAUUUUUGAUCUUACGAAUGAACAUCGGAAUCAGGUUAUCGCGGCAAAAUGUUAUAUUGGAAGGAGUAAUUAUCAAGGAGCUUCGUGGGAGAGAGUCUCAUACAAGGUAAGAAAUACAGUAUUAUAAACGUAAUUGUAAAUUAUUAGAAUCAAUUCCAUCCAUUUAUUUUACAUUCCAUGUAUACGUGAUCUAAAUUAAUAGUUGUUAAUAAAGAAUGGACGCACCCCUUAAAAAUGUGACAUAGCGUUUCUAGAAAUACUAUGUUAUUUUGGAAUAUUUUAGAGAAUAAGCACAGAGAGAUAUAUAAAUUUUUUUUUCCGUUUAUAUUUAAUUCUCUUUUUUCAUUAAGAAAGAUUAGAAAUGCAUAUUUCUCGCGAAGAUAUAGGAGAGAUAUUUUGCGGAAAUUGAAAGGGUGCGGGAAACAUUCAGAUUCGUCGUUCCAAGGUAAAAAAAAAGAAAAAAAUUGCCAUUCGCGAAACGGCGCUCAAUCACGCCGUUUAUCCGUCAAGCUACGUUCUCUCGCGCAAUUCAACACAAAAUAUAUCCCACGGUCAUAGUCGUUCCAGCAUCUUCCCGCGGGACGCGCGAGCGCGAAGAUGCGUCUCCCGGAGAGACUACGAGUGAGAAUACGACCGCUCUAAAACCCCGCCGGAUUUUCUCGUAAAAACCGCCGUCCCCUUAAAGGUGGGUUCCGGUGGCAUUAGCGAAAUGUCGACGAGAGCAACGACGACGAACGCGACGACCGUUCUCCCGUUUUAAUGUCAAUCCUCAAAUGUCACGUAACCAUC